GGAGGCGGCUGUGUUUAGGCACGGAAACACCACUGUUACUGAGAAUAACUUCAGCAGUGAGAGCAGGAAGGCGUCACUUCUCCAAAAGGUGAUUUAGUCUGCUUCAUCUUCCUUGCCAUGGAGGAAAGAACAGUCAAGAAAGAUAAAUAAAGGAGAGGGACAGAACGUGUAAGUAACAGAAGGGAAACAUUUCAAAGAAACAAACACCAAACUGAGGACCACAACCCAGGAAUGGUCCCGCUGUUUCUUUUCUGCAGACAUCGACCAGCCCUGCACUGCUAUUCAGGGCAGUAGGACGCAUUGGCCCACUUCUCUUUUUCUAUUUUCCCUAUUUCCACCUCACUUUAACAUAAAAGGGAAAGAGAAGAAACAAAAACCAGGUUCAACAACGGUUCAUCUAGAGCCACUCAAGCUACUAACGCUUCCAGAUCACAGAGAGUACUGCAAAGGGCCACUAACUUGCUAUACAGCAGGAGAGGCGUUGUGGCUUCUCGUCUACCUGAUGAAUGCAGAAGUUCCAGUUUCACCAGAACUUGUCAGAAAAGAGCCUAUUAAAGGUUCACUGAUAAAGGAGCGAAGAUCUGAAUGUGAUUCCUUUGGCCAAACCACUCAAACCAAAGACGGCACAGAAGCAGCACUUAGAUGCUCAAAGAAAAGGACCCCAGCUCCUGACAGCAGCCUGGGCGAAGGCUCCUCUUUGUGAAAUUUGGGAACUUCCGCUUUUGGAAAAUUCAUUGUAUCCAGGAGCUUAACAAACAGUAAGAGAAUGACAUUCUAACGCAGAUGUUGAAAUAUCCCGAAGCACUUCUAGGUACUUCAACCUAUUUAUGAGAUUUCUUAGCCCAAAACUGAGGAAGGACCAAUGUUCCCUGAGCUCGGCUUCAGCUUUCCCGAGAUGCAGCACAUCGAGAUGAUUUAUUUAAGAAGGUGAUGAAUUUCUGGCAAUUACUGAGGUCCACGUGCAUACAGAACCCGCACAUCCAAACCUAAUGAGGUUUCCAGGGAACUUGCAGCUAUUACAGAUUCACGGGCUCCUUCACUCAGCUCCUGGGAAAGCGCUUACAGCCG
rnacentral:lncRNA from 1 species